GUACCCGAGUCAUUGAGUCAUUAGCGUGCUGCACUUCGUCCUCUUUGGUAAAUAGCUCACCGGAGACAAGUCGGCACCGAUCUGUUGAUUCUACAUCAUCAUAUCACUGAGAUGAUUUCUUAUUGACAGGAUUAUUCCUUGACCACCGUUAGCGCGCACAAAUCACUGGGAGUAACUUCUGAUACCAGCGAUUGUUUUGUCCUUCCUGUGGUGUAGCAGAGAUCAGACCUUCAUAAUAAACAGAACUAGUCUGCGAAACAAUGAUGUCUUUUGGCGUCCAAGAACGACGGCACUCGUGCUUCAUACACGUAAGAUCGGACUCAUCACUUGAUCACUGUUUCACCUGAAAGUAAUGGCGAACGUGAAAAUGUUAAACACAGCUAUUAUCAGUCAUCAAGAAAAAUUACGUCCCCUAGUUACAAAAGACGCGUUACGCGAUUUUUUUUUUGUAUUUUCGUAAACGUCUCGCUUUAAACGAAACCCCAAGGGUUCAAAAGCAUAGAGUGCGUUUCUUUCUGGUCACUCUGGAAAUGUGUGUUUUGAGUGAGAGUGACAUGGACUCCCAUGACCAGGCAUCCAGUCCGAAACAGGGCACCAUCUUGUGUUGUUACUGGCUUAGACUCAAGUGAAAAGACAGAAGUAGACCAUUCCCAGGGGAUUUCACCUGGCUCUCCUGACAUCACUUCCGGG